GAUUUGCAGUGUGGGUGCCGUGUGUGCAUUGGGUUACUGAGGAGACGAGGCGAGCCCUAGGAAAUAUCUGGCCGCACUUCCUCUCUCCCCUCCCCCUCCCUCUGCGCCGCCACAGCUCCUCUUCUUUGUGCGCGGAGGCCAGCGCGGCUCGUCGCGCCACCAUCCGUCCACCCCGCCGCUCGUUUUCCUCCUCUCUCAGAUUGGGGGUGGCCGCCGCAGCUCCAUCUUCUCCCUGCCCUCCAUACCCAGGCGUGCAGCGGCCAGGUCGGAAGAAGCUCGAGCCGCUGUGGUGGUCCAUGGCGCCGUCGCCGUUGCCGUCACGGAUCACCAAGGCUGCUGCUGGUUGUUUGUCUCUGCGGAUUCUUGGCUUCUCCGGCGUGGUGCGUAUUUAAUCAACAUGGAAAGAUUCGGUUCUCUAUUGGUUGUUGCUCCUUGGGGCUUGUCUUUAACCAGGAAGCUGGGAUGCCUGCUCUUUCAUGUCGGCUUCUCAUUUGACAAAGCAUAUGUCCGUGGUUUAGAUCCAUGCUUGUGCAACCUACAGAAUUUGUUGUGCUGGCUCUUGCUUGUGCUUUACUGUUUGUCCUUCAGGAGACCAGCACAAUGUCGUUUCCUUUUUGUAGUUACUCAUUCAUACAUGCAGGUUCUUGGGGCAUCCAAUAGAAUGAAACUUUUAUUUCGAUGCCCAGUGCGUCCUUUGUUUGCUUCCUAUUAAUCUGUUCAAUGGCCAGUGUGUCUUUUGUUUGCUUCCUAUUAAUCUUAUCGUCUAUUUUUGUUCUGAAGCAUGAGGUUGCUUGUUCUUUUGUUCCGUUGUGCCCAUCAGAUUUCAUCUGUGUUUGACUCUAGGCUCGUCGUGCACUUGGAGAUUCUUGUAUUUUGUCUGCUUUGCAUGGCUUGUUGCCGACCAAGGUUCUGUUGUUAUGGCUUUCACUUGCUUUGUCAUCUACCGCCUUGUGAUCUUGCCCGUUGGACGCCUUGAUAUCAAGGUCAUGUUCUUGGUGUCUUCGCUGCUUUGCCGAGUAUUGUCUGCUUGCAUCCACCCACUAGCCAUUGAUCCAUUGUUUUCGGCCAUGACAGCUCGACUGAUCAGUCCAGCCCAGUGCCUACACCGCAGAUCAACCACCCUGCAUAGCACUUGAUGCGCGGUCGCUGAGCUGAUCCUUCUGCGUUCAUAGAAGGCCUUUGAUCCACUUCCUUAUUCAAUGGGGCUGACUACAAUCUGCUACACGUGUCGUGGUGUCGCUAGAGAAACUGGCAUGGAGGUCGUUGACAUUACAGACAAGUUCAUGCUUGAGGUGAUGUUCAUUAAGCUGCAGCUCCCACAACCACAGUUCUUCUGCUGCAAAGUUGGGGAAAGAUUUGUAGUCACAAUGAAGUUUCAUCCGAGCACACAACAUCAGCGACGUGAUGAUGAAGCAAUGACAUAGGGGUAUAUCCACUUCGGGGAGGAUCUACUUCCACAGCCUAUGUGGCUUUAGAAGAUGCCGAUACUACCAGCUACAGCAGCCUUAUCUGAAUAUCCAGUUAUUACCUCUUGUUGGAAAUAUGCCCUAGAGGCAAUAAUAAAUGGUUAUUAUUAUAUUUCUUUGUUCAUGGUAAUUGUCUAUUAUUCAUGCUAUAAUUGUAUUGUCCGGAAAUCGUAAUACAUGUGUGAAUACAUAGACCACAACGUGUCCC
rnacentral:rRNA from 1 species